CAUCAUUUCUGUGGUAGCUAUGAUGGUGACAUCGACUGAUUACAGUAGAAAAUUGUCAUGUUUCAGAUGUAACUAAGGAUGCACAUAGGCGACCUCUAACAAGUUCACAUUGAAAACUAGUAUUUGUCAUGUUUCAAUUGCAACAAAGGAUGCACAUAGGCGAUCUCUAACAAGUUCACAAUGAAAGCCAGUCAUCCGUAAGCAACCGUCAUGUUCCACUGCAACUAAGGAUGCACAUAGGCGAUCUCUAACAAGUUCACAAGCGAAAUCUUGUCGAAUUUCUCUUGUAAAAAACUUUUGCUCAUAGCAGCAGUUAUUUACAGUCUAAAAUUCUCGUAUUGUUGUCAUAUUUCAGCUGAAUAAACUGUGGAUGCACAAAGUGCCACACAUUUACACACUGAAACACGUAAAUCGUCGUAUUUUCUACUGUAAGCAUCCAAUGCACAUCACAACUUCAACACUGGGCAAAUGGCUAGGUACUAUACUUUCUGCAACAACACGUCCUCUCCCAAAGCAGUCGAU
rnacentral:lncRNA from 1 species